rnacentral:rRNA from 1 species
AGCGAACGCUGGCGGCAGGCCUAACACAUGCAAGUCGAACGAACCUUUCGGGGUUAGUGGCGGACGGGUGAGUAACACGUGGGAACGUGCCUUUAGGUUCGGAAUAACUCAGGGAAACUUGUGCUAAUACCGAAUGUGCCCUUCGGGGGGAAGAUUUAUCGCCUUUAGAGCGGCCCGCGUCUGAUUAGCUAGUGGGUUGAGGUAAUGGCUCACCAAGGCGACGAUCGGUAGCUGGUCUGAGAGGAUGAUCAGCCACAUUGGGACUGAGACACGGCCCAAACUCCUACGGGAGGCAGCAGUGGGGAAUCUUGCGCAAUGGGCGAAAGCCUGACGCAGCCAUGCCGCGUGAAUGAUGAAGGUCUUAGGAUUGUAAAAUUCUUUCACCGGGGACGAUAAUGACGGUACCCGGAGAAGAAGCCCCGGCUAACUUCGUG